UACAGAGGCCCCAAGCGUUACUGAGAAUCACUGGGUUUAAAGGGUGCGUAGGUGGCGCGUUAAGUCCGUUGUGAAAUCCCUUGGCUCAACCAAGGAAAUGCUUCGGAUACUGGCGUGCUUGAGGCUAGUGAGGGGUCACUGGAACUGACGGUGGAGCGGUGAAAUGCGUAGAUAUCGUCAGGAACGCCGAUGGUGAAGACAGGUGACUGGGCUAGUUCUGACACUGAGGCACGAAAGCGUGGGGAGCGAACAAGG
rnacentral:rRNA from 1 species